rnacentral:rRNA from 1 species
GACGAACUCUGGCGGCGUGCCUAACACAUGCAAGUCGAACGGAGUUGAAAGGAGCUUGCUUUUUUCAACUUAGUGGCGGACGGGUGAGUAACGCGUGAGUAACCUGCCUUUCAGAGGGGGAUAACGUUCUGAAAAGAACGCUAAUACCGCAUAAGAUUGUAGUUUCGCAUGGGACAGCAAUCAAAGGAGCAAUCCGCUGAAAGAUGGACUCGCGUCCGAUUAGAUAGUUGGCGGGGUAACGGCCCACCAAGUCGACGAUCGGUAGCCGGACUGAGAGGUUGAUCGGCCACAUUGGGACUGAGACACGGCCCAGACUCCUACGGGAGGCAGCAGUGAGGGAUAUUGGGCAAUGGGGGAAACCCUGACCCAGCAACGCCGCGUGAGGGAUGACGGUUUUCGGAUUGUAAACCUCUGUCCUCUGUGAAGAUAGUGACGGUAGCAGAGGAGGAAGCUCCGGCUAACUACGUGCCAGCAGCCGCGGUAAUACGUAGGGAGCGAGCGUUGUCCGGAUUUACUGGGUGUAAAGGGUGCGUAGGCGGAUUGGCAAGUCAGAAGUGAAAUCCAUGGGCUUAACCCAUGAACUGCUUUUGAAACUGUUAGUCUUGAGUGAAGUAGAGGUAGGCGGAAUUCCCGGUGUAGCGGUGAAAUGCGUAGAGAUCGGGAGGAACACCAGUGGCGAAGGCGGCCUACUGGGCUUUAACUGACGCUGAGGCACGAAAGUGUGGGUAGCAAACAGGAUUAGAUACCCUGGUAGUCCACACUGUAAAC